AUGUGUUGUGUUUUAAAUAGUUGUUAUGUUUUUCAUUAUUACUCACUCAACCUCAAUGACCUUUGUAUCUUCUUUUUUCAUUGUGUUAUGAUUUUCAGAUUUGUUUUGUUUUUCACUGUCUGCUUAUGCUCUAGAUUGUAUUGCUACAUACUUAUGGGUAAUAUUGACUUUUUUAGAUAUAAAAUAGAAAUUGAAGUUCAACAUGACGGUCAUGUUUGCAGUUGA